CUCUCCAGUCCCUCUUCCAGUCCCUCUGUAUGAUAGAACAGAUAAUGUUUCCACAGCUGCAAGUUAUAUAUCCUUCUCUCUCCCAACAGGCAAGUUACGGGAUUUUGUGGAAGUGACCUUCUAAAGCACAUUCUAGGGAUUCCACAUUCUAAAUUAUUGUUUGCCUUAUAGCAUGAUUACUCCAGUCUGAGUGGUGUACUGUUGUCAGUGGGCUCUAGUAGUGAGAUUACCCUGCCUUCCUGACUGCUGAGAUCAGGGUUGCGGUCCAUGCAUGACAUCUUAUCACAGGACUGGACAGUCAUUAGUGUUGCUUAGAGGGCUGAUCCAGCCUCAGAGCUGACCGAAACCCAGCACUUUGUUCACUCCAUCUGAUGUCCACUGAGGAGACAAGGACAGACAGAAAAGACAGGGACUAAGAGAGGAGAGAAGAGAAAGGGGAGAGAGAUGAGAAAGCAGAGGAGAGAAAGAGAAGAAGAACUCAAUGACGGGAAGAGCGCAAUGGACACCAUCAAAAAGAGGUGAGGGGAGGGCAUGACGAAACUCCCUCCACCCAUGACGAACACCCCCCCAACUCCAGCCCUGCAUCAUCAGUGUUUACGCCUCAAUCAAUUACCCAUCAUAACCUGGGUGUUUGUGUCGGCGCCUCACUGGCUGGUUGAAGUCCCAAGCCACUUCUAAUUAACGACAUCUCCAGGUCAGGACUCACACAGGGAGAAAUCUUACAUCAGUCCAAUUGACUAAGAGUUUUUCCUAAUAAAAAAAUACAACUUUAAUUGAGAAAGAUUGUACUAACUAUACACACUCACUCAGUGUUAAAAAAUAUGAAAAAGACAUUACGCAACAUCCUAGCACACAGUUUAAGCCAUUGCAAAUGCAAGC
rnacentral:lncRNA from 1 species